GAAGCCGAUGUUGCGUCGUACGUUUUGAAAAACGACCCAGAGAGUGUAUCUCCAUGGCAAGCCUAACCCGAUGAUCGGGGCAGGCAGAGCGAAAGCGACAUGGCCGCAGUCUUACGACCAGGGCCGCCGUGUUCAAGCGCGGGGAGUCGUGGGGAUACGACCCGAAACCGAGUGAUCUACACAUGGGCAGGGUGAAGCGUGCCGAAAGGCACGUGGAGGCCCGUUAGCGUUGGUGUCUUACAAUACCCUCGCGUGACCUAUGUGUAGGGGUGAAAGGCCCAUCGAACUCGGCAACAGCUGGUUCCAACCGAAACAUGUCGAAGCAUGACCUCACCCGAGAUAGUCCGUGAGGUAGAGCGACCGAUUACUCGUCCCGCCCUCGAGAGAGGUCGGCCGGGUUGUCGAACUCCAAACUUACGGACGUUGUAGACGGUGGGAGUCCGGACUGCGGGGUAAGCCUGUGGUCCGUAAGGGAGACAACCCAGCGUACGGUUAAGGACCCAAAAUACGGAUUAAGUGCAACCGAAGGUGGUCUCGAGCCCUAAACAGCCGGGAGGUGAGCUUAGAAGCAGCAACCCUCUAAGAAAAGCGUAACAGCUUACCGGCCGAGGUUCGAGGCGCCCAAAAUGAUCGGGGCUCAAAUCCGUUUCCGAGACCGUACAACACCAAUCAUGGUGACUACGUAGGUUGGCGUACUGUUCGAGUGGAAAUACGGGUGAGAACUCGUAUGGAUCGUACAGUAACGACAAUUCUGGUCACAGUAGCAGCGAUAGUCGGGUGAGAACCUCGACGACCUUACGAGCAAGGGUUCCUUGGCACUGUCAUUCAGCCAAGGGUUAGUCGGUCCUAAGUCCCCUCGCAACUCGACGGGGACAACAGGGAAACUGGUUAAUAUUCCAGUACCAACACCACUCAAAGCCAACGCUUUGGGAAACACCGCACCGGGUUUUCGCCCGGUCGAAUCGGUCACGCCCGUGGAAGCCGUCAUGGCACGAAGCGGGUAACUACCGAGACAGGGAAACGCGGUGGUACCUAGAGCCCGUGAAACGGCAAGCGUGUUGUCCGUACCAAGAUCCGACACAGGUGCUCAGGCAGCGAAAGCCAAGGUCUGUCGGGCCCCAACCGGCGUUAGGGAAUUCGGCAAGUUAGUCCCGUACGUUCGCAAGAAGGGAUGCCUGCCUCCAGCGAGGCAGGUUGCAAUAACUCGGACGCUCCGACUGUCUAGUAACAACACAGGUGACCGCAAAUGCGCAAGCACUCGUACGGUCACUGAAUCCUGCCCAGUGCGGGUAUCUGAACACCUCGUACAAGAGGACGAAGGACCCGUCAACGGCGGGGGUAACUAUGACCCUCUUAAGGUAGCGUAGUACCUUGUCGCUUCAGUAGCGACUUGCAUGAAUGGAUCAACGAGAGCGUCACUGUCCCAACGCUGGCCCCGGUGAACUGUACGUUCCAGUGCGGAGUCUGGAGACCCCCAAGGGGAAGCGAAGACCCUAUAGAGCUUCACUGCAGGCUGUCGCUGAGACGUGGUCGCUACUGUGCAGCAUAGGUAGGAGGCAUUACACAGGUACCCGCGCUAGCGGGCCACCGAGCCAUCAUUGAAAUACUACCCGGUAGUGACUGCGACUCUCACUCCUGGCGGAGGACACCGGUAGCCGGGCAGUUUGACUGGGGCGGUACGCGCUCGAAAAGAUAUCGAGCGCGCCCCAAGAUUUCCUCACUCGGGUCGGGAACCCGAGGCAGAGCGCAAGAGCAGAAGGAAGUCUGACAGUGUUCUUCCCAACGAGGAACGCUGACGCGAAAGCGUGGUCUAGCGAACCCACAAGGCCUAUUGAUGAGGCCUGUGGAUGACAGAAAAGCUACCUUAGGGAUAACAGAGUCGUCACUCGCAAGAGCACAUAUCGACCGAGUGGCUUGCUACCUCGAUGUCGGUUCCCUCCAUCCUGCCCGUGCAGACGCGGGCAAGGGUGAGGUUGUUCGCCUAUUAAAGGAGGUCGUGAGCUGGGUUUAGACCGUCGUGAGACAGGUCGGCUGCUAUCUAUUGGGGGUGUUUAGGAACAUGCCAUGAACGAUCGUAUAGUACGAGAGGAACUACGAUUGGGCACCACUGGUGUAUCGGUUGUCUGAGAAGGCAGUUGCCGAGUAGCCACGUGCCGCGGGGUAAGAGCUGAACGCAUCUAAGCUCGAAACCCACAUGAAAAAGAUGUUCCACUGAGGGCACUCGUAGAAGACGAGUUCGAUAGACUCGGGAUGUACGCACCAAGGCAACGAGGUGUUGAGUCCACGAGCACUAACAGCCCAAGCCAACACUC
rnacentral:rRNA from 1 species